GACGAACGCUGGCGGCGUGCUUAACACAUGCAAGUCGAACGGAAAGGCCCUGCUUUUGUGGGGUGCUCGAGUGGCGAACGGGUGAGUAACACGUGAGUAACCUGCCCUUGACUUUGGGAUAACUUCAGGAAACUGGGGCUAAUACCGGAUAGGAGCUCCUGCUGCAUGGUGGGGGUUGGAAAGUUUCGGCGGUUGGGGAUGGACUCGCGGCUUAUCAGCUGGUUGGUGGGGUAGUGGCUUACCAAGGCUUUGACGGGUAGCCGGCCUGAGAGGGUGACCGGCCACAUUGGGACUGAGAUACGGCCCAGACUCCUACGGGAGGCAGCAGUGGGGAAUAUUGCACAAUGGGCGGUAGCCUGAUGCAGCAACGCCGCGUGCGGGAUGACGGCCUUCGGGUUGUAAACCGCUUUCGCCUGUGACGAAGCGUGAGUGACGGUAAUGGGUAAAGAAGCUCCGGCUAACUACGUG
rnacentral:rRNA from 1 species